rnacentral:rRNA from 1 species
CCUACGGGUGGCUGCAGUGAGGAAUAUUGGUCAAUGGACGGGAGACUGAACCAGCCAAGCCGCGUGAGGGAUGAAGGUACAGAGGAUCGUAAACCUCUUUUGUCAGGGACCAAAGGCGGGGACGUGUCCCCGGAUGAGUGUACCUGAAGAAAAAGCAUCGGCUAACGCCGUGCCAGCAGCCGCGGUAAUACGGAGGAUGCGAGCGUUAUCCGGAUUUAUUGGGUUUAAAGGGUGCUAAGGCGGGCGGUUAAGUCAGCGGUAAAAGUCCGGGGCUCAACCCCAGCCCGACGUUGAAACUGGAUGUCUAGAGUUGUAGAGAAGUAUGCGGAAUGCGCGGUGUAGCGGUGAAAUGCAUAGAUAUCGCGCAGAACUCCGAUUGCGAAGGCAGCAUGCCGGCGCCACACUGACGCUGAGGCACGAAAGCGUGGGUAUCGAACAGGAUUAGAUACCCCAGUAGUC